GCCUGGAUAGCUCAGCUGGUUAGAGCGUGGUGCCGAUAAUGCCAUAGUUGCAGGUUUGAUCCCCGUAAAAGACA